rnacentral:rRNA from 1 species
GACGAACGCUGGCGGCGUGCCUAAUACAUGCAAGUUGAGCGCUGACGGUUGGUACUUGUACCAACUGGAUGAGCAGCGAACGGGUGAGUAACGCGUGGGGAAUCUGCCUUUGAGCGGGGGACAACAUUUGGAAACGAAUGCUAAUACCGCAUAAAAACUUUAAACACAAGUUUUAAGUUUGAAAGAUGCAAUUGCAUCACUCAAAGAUGAUCCCGCGUUGUAUUAGCUAGUUGGUGAGGUAAAGGCUCACCAAGGCGAUGAUACAUAGCCGACCUGAGAGGGUGAUAGGCCAAAUUGGGAAUGAGAAACGGCCCAAACUCCUACGGGAGGCAGCAGUAGGGAAUCUUCGGCAAUGGACGAAAGUCUGACCGAGCAACGCCGCGUGAGUGAAGAAGGUUGUCGGAUCGUAAAACUCUGUUGGUAGAGAAGAAAGUUGGUGAGAGUGGAAAGCUCAUCAAGUGACGGUAACUACCCAGAAAGGGACGGCUAACUACGUG